GUGCCCUUAGCUCAGCUGGUAGAGCAGCUGACUUUUAAUCAGCGGGUCGUAGGUUCGAAUCCUACAGGGCACACCA
rnacentral:tRNA from 6 species